rnacentral:lncRNA from 1 species
UCUGCUUAGUCAUAAUUCAUCUGUAUAUAAUAUCUGUUCAGGGACAAAGUAAGCCAAGAAAAAGAGGACUUACAGUUUCCUCUAUUGGCACUGAAGGGUCGAUGCGAUGUUGAUAGUAAAGGUCAAUAUAUUCCACCUCAAGACGCUUUAAGCUAGCCUCACAGCAUGCACGAACAUAUUCAGGUUUGCCAUUAAAUGAGGCAGCCUUGAAAUCAUUGUUCUCGCAAACAAUACCGAAUUUUGUAGCCAAUUGGAUCUUCUCUCUAGGCAAUUGCUUCAAAGCCUGCAAGCGCAAGUAUUUGACGUAGUACACAACUAAACAAAAGCAAUAUAUCCCUAGAAAUUACAUUUCAUGAACUCUAUUUGCUUGGCUUAUCUCGUUUCAAGACAAGAACUAAUUGUAUAUGAUAAGAAGAAACCUUGCCGAUCAAGAUUUCAUUAGUGUUAGGGCCAUAAACAUCAGCAGUAUCGAAAAAUGUAAUUCCUCUAUUGAAAGCUUCCUUGAUGGUUGAUAUGCCAACUUCUUCAGGGAGAGGGGCGUUGUAGCCACCAGAAAGCCCCAUACAUCCAAAUCCUAAUUUGGAGACCUGAAAGUUAAAGCAAAAGGGUAAAAUUUUUCAUCAUUUCUAAUUGAAAAACAUGGAAUAAUAAACAAUUGAGAUGAGCGUCACCUCUAGCCCUUGAUUACCCAGCUUCACCAUUGGAAUUACAAGUCUUUGCUUCUCAGCCAUCUCUUAGUUUUCUAUGUGCCUCCUUCAACCUUCUCCUUCCCUUCCUCCUAUCUGCUAUGGAAGUGAUGAGUUUAGUUAAUUCAAGUGCUGAAGGAACCAUAAAUAAUAUCUAUAUUUAUAGAUAAUUUCAGGUCCCUGUGUCGGAUAGGCACUCCUGACGUUGACAUGGAUUGUGAGCAGUGACGCAUGAGCUUGUGUCAAUGAAAGAUUUUAUUUGACAACCAUUAAGUUUUGAUCAAUUGGGGACCAAAUUUUCUUUUUAAUACUGAAAAUCAAGAUAAGAAACAAACAAAAAAAAAAAUCUGGGCAUGGGACCCCUUGGAUUCAUCUCUGAAAAAUUUCAUUUGUCAAUUUAUGAUUUCCAUUAAGCAAGUUAAUUUCUGUCAUGUUUCAUGACAGAUAAGCAAUUAUGCUUAUGCUUAUACAGUGCUAACCUUUACCAUCUUAUAGAUUAUAUAAACUUGACCCUUUAUUAUAAAAUUCAGUUGUUGCAUGAGCAACUUUAGAAAGCAAUGUUUUGCAGGUUAGGGAAAAAAAAACCUUGAUGUUAUAUUUUUAAUAUAUUCAACUAUUAAGAAAUUCAAUAUAACUAGGGAUGAGUGUUUGUUCGAUUUUUAUUAAUGAAAUAAUAACUUCUCCAUUUAUAUUAUUUUUUAUUUUCCUUUUAUAAAUAAUAACUUCUCCAUUUCCAUCAAAUGGGUCAGCCAAGAUAUUAGAACAUUAAUUUUGAAGAGAAGAUGACUUGCAUUCUUUUGAAUUAAAUACUUCAUAGUUCAUAAUGAUGGUGGCCCUCCAUAUUAGACAGACCCACUGUAACAAAUUAUCCAUCUGUAGAGUUCGAGCAGGGGAAACCGACAAAACGACAGGGGUAAAGCUUGCUAAUUAAUUUAUUUAUUAUAAUUAAUUUCUACUGAGACUCCAAUUCGAGAUCUUAUAAUUCUGACAUUAAUGGUAAGAUCAAAAUUUCAGUAAGUGCACAGCUUGCUAAGAUAGACGACUCAGGUCGGGAAUUAGCCAUUUCUGUGUGGGGUGUUGCCAAACUUCCAUGUAUACCUGAUGUCAAAAAAUCUCAAUCCAGCAACUUGGUCGGCUGGAACAGCAUCAGAGACUUCCUUAAACUCAUCUUUUGUCAGCUUAACUCUCAAUGCUCCAAUGUUGUCAUGCAGAUUCUUAAUCUUUGUUGUGCCUAAAGAAAGCCCAACAAGACAUUGCAAACCACAAGUAUUUGGUAAGCUGAUCUAAACACAUUAGAUAACUGAGAGCAUGAAUCAAAGAGAAGCAGACCCACCAGGGAUGGGAACCACAUCAUCUCCUUGAUUGAGAACCCAAGCAAGGGCAAGCUGAGCAGGACUGCAUCCAUAUUUUUUAGCUAAAUUUUCUACUCUCCUAUAUAAUACCUUAUUCUGUUUUAAAUUUUCUUCUGUGAAUCUUGGGAAGAAUUUCUGCAGUAAAAGCAAGGUAGAUGCCAAAUAAGCAUCAAAUUAAAGAAUUAGAUUGUAACUAAAUGCAAAUUUAGUACCAGCAGAGUGUCUGAAGGCACGCUUUCCACUACUGCUUUGCCAGCAAAAAAGCCCUGACCCAGAGGGCUAUAUGGAACUAUUCCAAUUCCAAGUUCCCUGCAUGUUUGUUUCAGAGGACAAUCCCCUCAGACAUAUUAUUAUUAGAUUAAUCAAAGAAAACGUAGUAAGAAACACUAAAUAUGAAUAUUACAUGUGUACCUGCAAAGAGGGAUUAUUUGUUCCUCGAGGUCGCGAGACCAAAGUGACCAUUCUAUUUGCAGUGCAGUGAUGGGGUGAACUGCGUGUGCUCUCUUGAUGGUAUCGGGACUUGGCUCAGAAAGUCCUAUGUACUUAAUUUUCCCUUCUUCCACUAACUUCUUAAGUUCUCCCAUCUACUUGAUGAAAAAUUCAUUCAGAAAUUCACAGAGAAAACCAGUAAAUGAAAAUAAGAACUUACGGUUUCCUCUAUUGGGACUGACGGGUCGAUGCGAUGUUGAUAGUAAAGGUCAAUAUAGUCCACAUCAAGACGCUUUAAGCUAGCCUCACAGCAUGCACGAACAUAUUCAGGUUUGCCAUUAAAUGAGGCAGUCCUAUAAUCAUAAUUUUUUUUGAAAAUAACCCCGAAUUUUGUAGCCAAUUGGAUCUUCUCUCUAGGCAAUUGCUUCAAUGCCUGCAAGCACAAGUAUUUGUCGAGGUACACAAUCAAAAGAACUUACAUUUUCAUGAACUCUAAUUGCUUGCCUCGCUAGCUCGACUGAAAAGAGAAAAAAGAAAUAUUCUUAUUUGCUUAUCUUGUUUUAAGAAAAGAAGUUGUAUAUGACAGGAACUCUAAACCUUGCCAAUCAAAACUUCAUUAGCGUUAGACCCAUAAAUAUCAGCAGUAUCGAAAAAUGUAAUUCCUCUAUUGAAUGCUUCCUUGAUGAUUGAUAUGCCAACUUCUUCAGGAAGAGGAGCAUUGUAGCCACCAGAAAGCUCCAUACAUCCAAAUCCUAAUUUGGAGACCUGAAAGUUAAAGAAAAAGGGUAUAAUCUCUGAUCAUUAAUAAUUGAAAACCAUAGAAUAAAGAAGGAAGUGAGAUUAUGGGUUUGACCUCUAGUCCUUGAUUACCCAGCUUCACCCUUGGAAUAAUUACAAGUCUUUGCUCCUCAGCCAUCCAAUUAGUUUUCUCUGCCUCCUUCACCUUCUCCUUCCCUUCCUGCUAUUUGCUAUGGAAGUGGUGAUGAUGAGUUUGGUUCAAUUACUAAAGGAACCAUGAAUAACAUCUGAGUACUUGUAGAUAAUGUCAGGUCCCUCGGUCGGAUAAAUGAUAAUGAUGUUGACAUAGGUCGUUUAGUAGCGAGGCAUGGGGGAGAAAUUAUAUUUCAAUUGUUUAAUGAAAUAAUUCAACCCGUUUGUGUAAUCUAAGUACCCACCGUUUAAAAAAUCUCCUUUCGAUUUUAUCUAGUUUUAGUUUUCCUUCUAAUGUGCUCUAUCCUUGUUGCCUGCAAAACUUCGUGGCCAGCUGGACAGAAGAGGCUCCCUCGUUCCUACGCAGGAACUGAAUUGUUACGGGUAUUAGAGUUUAAAUAGAUUUAAGAUUGUCGGAAAUGGUAACAACUUUACUAUAUAUUUUGUUAUAUAUGAUAUAAUUCUAAAUAUAAUUUAAAAAAUAUGAACAAACAAAAAUUAAUUGACAAUAUUUUGCUGAAAUAAUUUGAAUUUUUUUUUUUUUCAUAAAGGAAUACUCUGGAUACAUCAGACAAGGUAAAUUAUUCUCUUUCUCCAAGCACACCGAAAGAAUACAGCUCUCUGCUGAGGAAUUGUGUGCUAAUAAUUUCUGAUAUACUACCCCCUACAAAUUCAUUGACGGAAAAUUCACUGGUAAACGCACAGCUUGUAAUUGCUAGGAUAGACAUCUCAGGUUGAGAAUUCAGACUUGGCCAUCUCUGGGUGGAGUAUUGCCAGUAUACUGCACAUUCAGAGUUCGUAAACCAGCAACUUGGUCAGCUGGAACAGCAUCAGAGACUUCCUUAAACUCAUCUUUUGUCAGCUUAAGUCUCAAUGCUCCAAUGUUGUCCUCCAGAUUUUUAAGCUUGGUUGUGCCUAAAGAAAGCCCAAGAAAACAUUGCAAACCAGAUUUUGACGAGCUGAUCUAAACGUAUGCAGUUCAUAUUAGAUAACUGAGAGCAUGAAUAGAGAAGACAAGCAAACCCACCAGGGAUGGGAACCACAUCAUCUCCUUGAUUGAGAACCCAAGCAAGGGCAAGCUGAGCAGGAAGGCAUCCAUAUUUUUUAGCCAAAUUUUCUACUCGACUAUAUAGUAUCUUAUUCUGUUCUAAGUUUUCUCCUGAAAACCUUGGCAAUAAUCUCUGAAGUAAAAGGCAAGGUUGAUGCCAAGUAAGCAAUAAAAUUAGUUUCGAAAAGCAUCAAAUGAAACAUUAAAGAAUUAGACUGCAACUAAAUUACAUGUUUAGUACCAUCCGAGUGUCUGAAGGGACACUUUCCAUAUUUUUUUUGCCAGCAAAAAAACCCCGGCCGAGAGGGCUAUAUGGAACUAUUCCAAUUCCAAGUUCCCUGUAUGUCCUUAUUAUUAAACGAACCAAAAACAACCUAACUAGGAAGACUAAAUAAGAAUGUUAAAUGGGUACCUGCAUAGAGGGACUAUUUCUUCCUCGAGGUCGUGAGUCCAAAGUGACCAUUCCAUUCGCAGUGCUGUGAUGGGAUGAACUGCGUGUGCUCUUUUUAUGGUGUCAGGGCUUGGCUCAGAAAGUCCAAUAUACUUAAUUUUCCCUUCUUGCACUAACUUUUUAAGUUCUCUCAUCUGCUUAAUAAAAAAUCAUGUGUAUAUAAUAUCUGUUUAGCGACAGAGCAAGCCUGGAAAGGAAAAAGGACUUACAGUUUCCUCUAUUGGGAUUGAAGGGUCGAUCCGACGUUGAUAGUAAAGAUCUAUAUAAUCCACAUCAAGACGUUUUAAGCUAGCCUCACAGCAUGCACGAACAUAUUCAGGUUUACCGUUAAAUGAGGCAGUUUUAAAAUCAUUGUUCUUGAACAUAAUUCCAAAUUUUGUAGCCAAUUGGAUCUUCUCUCUAGGCAAU